UACAGAGGGUGCAAGCGUUGUUCGGAAUUAUUGGGCGUAAAGAGCGUGUAGGCGGCCUGGUAGGUCGGUUGUGAAAACUUGAGGCUUAACCUCGAGACUCGACCGAAACCACCUGGCUAGAGUCCGGAAGAGGAGAGUGGAAUUCCUGGUGUAGCGGUGAAAUGCGCAGAUAUCAGGAAGAACACCGGUGGCGAAGGCGGUCGACUGGGCCAGUACUGACGCUGAGGCGCGACAGCGUGGGGGAGCAAACAGG
rnacentral:rRNA from 1 species